GAAUCCGCCAUGAUGCUACCAUGUAAAAAACCAGUAUAAGCGUACUGACAACUACCAACGAAAACUUAUGAUGUAUGGUGCGAUGAAAGGGAUUCAUUCCAGUAAAAAACAUAAAACGUUCACAGUCCAGUCCAUACGUUCUACGCUGACUACUCUAACUUUACUGAUACAAUUGCAAGGAACAGAGUGCCAAAAUACCUGUUUCCAAAAUUCCCGGUACACAUUUUCGAGAUGGGGAAGAACUUGGUCUGAGAACAGUGAUGUCUGCAAAAGUCAAGGUGG